CGGUCUUGCGCAAUGAGAAUCUGCGAACCGUGUCAGGUUGGGAACAAAGCAGCACUAAGCAGAACCUUUCAUGUGCCGCAAGGCAGCCG
rnacentral:SRP_RNA from 1 species